GUCCAUUGCAAACCGUUAAAUUAGGGGCAGCGAGCUUUAUGGUAAAGGAAGAGAACGAAGAAGAACGAGGAACGCACAGGAGCAGCAUCCUGCAACAGAGCAGCAAAUCCGGCGCAUGCAGAUAGCCCGUGAAGAACCUGUACAACGAUGUGUCUUUGCGAUACACCAGGCAAUGUGAUGCUAUUGGGAGUUGUGUGCCUCAUAGGCACUGUGCUUCAUCUUAGUUCGGUAUUCAUCACGGUGACGCUAUUGGGUAA